rnacentral:rRNA from 1 species
UACGUAGGGGGCUAGCGUUAUCCGGAAUUACUGGGUGUAAAGGGUGCGUAGGCGGGUACUUAAGUCAGAUGUGAAAGCUAUGGGCUUAACUCAUAGAUUGCAUUUGAAACUGGGUAUCUUAAGUGCAGGAGAGGGAAGCGGAAUUCCUAGUGUAGCGGUGAAAUGCGUAGAGAUUAGGAGGAACACCAGUGGCGAAGGCGGCUUCCUGGACUGUAACUGACGCUGAGGCACGAAAGCGUGGGGAGCAAACAGG